rnacentral:rRNA from 1 species
UUCCCCUAGUAACGGCGAGUGAAGAGGGAAAAGCUCAAAUUUAAAAUCUGGCGGUCUACGGCCGUCCGAGUUGUAAUCUAGAGAAGUGUUUUCCGCGCUGGACCGUGUACAAGUCCUUUGGAACAAGGCGUCAUAGAGGGUGAGAAUCCCGUCUACGACACGGACUGCCAAGCGCUUUGUGAUACACUCUCAACGAGUCGAGUUGUUUGGGAAUGCAGCUCAAAAUGGGUGGUAAAUUCCAUCUAAAGCUAAAUAUGGGCGAAAGACCGAUAGCGAACAAGUACCGUGAGGGAAAGAUGAAAAGCACUUUGGAAAGAGAGUUAAACAGUACGUGAAAUUGUUGAAAGGGAAACGCUUGAAGUCAGUCGCGUCUUCAGAAAUUCAGCUGGGCUUCUGCCCUGUGUACUUUUCUGUGGGACGGGCCAGCAUCAGUUUCGGCUGCCAGAAAAAGGUGGGAGGAAGGUGGCACCUCCGGGUGUGUUAUAGCCUCCGAUCGUAUGUGGCAGCUGGGACUGAGGACCGCAGCACGCCUUCAUGGCCGGGGUUCGCCCACGUAACGUGCUUAGGAUGCUGGCGUAAUGGCUUUAAGCGACCCGUCUUGAAACACGGACCAAGGAGUCUAACAUGCCUGCGAGUAUUUGGGUGGCAAACCCAUAUGCGCAAUGAAAGUGAACGGUUGGGACUUCUGUCAUGGAAGGCACCGACGCCCGGACCAGACCUAUUGUGACGGAUCCGAGGUAGAGCAUGUAUGUUGGGACCCGAAAGAUGGUGAACUAUGCCUGA